UUGUGUUAAGGUAGCAGGUUGUUGCCUUAAACAAGGUUCUUGUUUAAGGCAACAACCUGCUACCUUAAUUUUA
rnacentral:sRNA from 1 species